rnacentral:rRNA from 1 species
AGGACGAACGCUGGCGGCGUGCUUAACACAUGCAAGUCGAGCGGUAAGGCCCUUUCGGGGUACGACGAGCGGCGAACGGGUGAGUAACACGUGGGUGACCUGCCCUCAGCUCUGGGAUAAGCCUGGGAAACUGGGUCUAAUACCGGAUAUGACUCCAUGACGCAUGUUGUGGGGUGGAAAGCCUUGUGCGGCUGAGGAUGGGCCCGCGGCCUAUCAGCUUGUUGGUGGGUGAUGGCCUACCAAGGCGACGACGGUAGCCGGCCUGAGAGGGCGACCGGCCACACUGGGACUGAGACACGGCCCAGACUCCUACGGGAGGCAGCAGUGGGGAAUCUUGCGCAAUGGACGAAAGUCUGACGCAGCGACGCCGCGU